ensembl:lncRNA
GAACGGCUUCUUUUUGCCGCCGGCCCUAAGCUGUCGGCUAUAGGUGCGUCCUGCUGGCGGGGAUGAAACGUUUGCCGCCGAUUACGUCACUCCAAUUUCUUGCGAGAUUUCUUGACUGCUUCAUUUUCUCUGGCGGUUGCCUGGGUCUAAAGCACCGCGGUCGUCCGGCAGCAAGACGUUUUUAAAUACAAGGCUACUCUCAAAAUCGACCGGCCAUGUUGGUUUGGACACACAUUCGCAUCAGUUCGUUGCUCAAUCGCGAGUUACAGCCUGCAGUUUGCUAGCUAGCAAAGUCAUCGACUACCAUCGUUUAAAUACCUUGGCCAGAGCAUAACCGGUUAUCUUCACCCAAGAGACCUACUGUUGGUCAAUCGUUUUGGUUUUAAAGAAGUUGCAUCGAUUCCAGAAAACCAGAAAAAUGAUGAGCCAUCUGUAGACUUCAGAGCUGAACCAGUUUUCUCCCUAGAGUUUGAGUACAACUCGUCAAGUACUAAGCUUUACACCACCAGCAGCAAAUUUACCCUGGCAGCAUAUGGGUGAAAACUCUGGAGGAGAAAGUCAUCGCUUUGUUAUUGGCCCUUGGACGCCCCUGGCAUCUCGUGUACAGCACAAAGUUUUCAGCUAUGAAGAUUUCCAGUGACUCCAGAAUGAAAACCAAGCUCUGAGGGAGGAGAACCAAGCCCUGAGGGAAUGCAAUGCACAAGCAGGUGAGAAUGUGCACUCUCUUAAAUUUUAGUUCAGAAUUACCAUAUGCCUUUGAUUUUGUAGCUUCGGGUUGACAGCGGCUCACUUCAAGAACAGGUGAAGCAAGUAGGGACAAUGUUGAAGACGUUUGCUCUCACUGGGCAAUCAGGUGCGUUACCUGAAAGGAGCAUCUGAUCGUGAAGGCAGAAAAAGCCGCACAGCUGAGAAGGACCCACGGCCGACCCCUUAAACAUAGGCUGACUACUGACACCCCACCAUCACUGAACUGGAACACUUUCUUUAUCCUGCAUUCAGUAACAUCAAGAAGCUAGAAGUGCCAGACUACACUCACCAAAUCCACCCUGUUUUUUUUUUUGUAUUUUAACUUUAGUAUUGG